rnacentral:tRNA from 1 species
GGGCGCAUAGCUCAGCUGGUUAGAGCACUGGUCUUACAAACCAGUGGUCGGGGGUUCGAGUCCCUCUGCGCCCACCA